UGUUAACUGUGGCUCCAAUGGGUAGGAUGAAGCGGCUAAUGCGUUUGUCCACACCAUUAUUUUCCUCAACACACUUGAUCAUAGAGGGAAGAGUUGCUGAACUGGUGAUUGACAGGGAGAGAUACAAUACAGUAGUGAAUUUAUUGCAUUUUUGUCAGCCUUUCAAGUGAAUGUAAUGCCAAACAUUUUUUUUACAUUCAAGUUCAAACAAAGACCUGGAACCUCCGCAUCCCUGCAAAUGCCUCCGCUGCCCAGUGACCUAGAGCUUCCACUUCUGAGCAGCAAAACCUCAGGUUAGAUAUUCUCUCUUGGUGGGACAUUGGUAACUGGGAUCUACAAUUUCAUAUGGAUCCCUGUGAUGUGACAGUAUACCUGGAGCAGGUGGCAAAGGCAGUGGUGAAGGGGGUGAUGAGGCCUGACAGGAAACUGAACGGGUUCUUGCGUGUGAAGCCGAAGUAGAUGAGAGGCAGGACGAUGC